UACCAGCUCUUCGAGUGGUGUGGAUGUUUAUUGGGCCUAAAGCAUCCGUAGCUGGCUGGGCAAGUCCCCUGUUAAAUCCACCGAUUCAAUCGUUGGAGUGCGGGGGAUACUGCUCGGCUAGGGGACGGGAGAGGCCGACGGUAUUUUCGGGGUAGGGGUGAAAUCCUAUAAUCCCGGAAAGACCACCAGUGGCGAAGGCUGUCUGCUAGAACGUGCCCGACGGUGAGGGAUGAAAGCUGGGGGAGCGAACCGGAUUAGAUACCCGGGUAGUCCCAGCUGUAAACGAUGCAGGCUAGGUGUUUGGACGGCCACGUGCCGUUCUAGUGCCGCAGGGAAGCCGUUAAGCCUGCCGCCUGGGGAGUACGGCCGCAAGGCUGAAACUUAAGGAAUUGGCGGGGAGCACCACAAGGGGUGAAGCUUGCGGUUU
rnacentral:rRNA from 1 species